AUUGAACGCUGGCGGCAGGCCUAACACAUGCAAGUCGAGCGGCAGCGGGAAAGUAGCUUGCUACUUUUGCCGGCGAGCGGCGGACGGGUGAGUAAUGCCUGGGAAAUUGCCCAGUCGAGGGGGAUAACAGUUGGAAACGACUGCUAAUACCGCAUACGCCCUACGGGGGAAAGCAGGGGACCUUCGGGCCUUGCGCGAUUGGAUAUGCCCAGGUGGGAUUAGCUUGUUGGUGAGGUAAUGGCUCACCAAGGCGACGAUCCCUAGCUGGUCUGAGAGGAUGAUCAGCCACACUGGAACUGAGACACGGUCCAGACUCCUACGGGAGGCAGCAGUGGGGAAUAUUGCACAAUGGGGGAAACCCUGAUGCAGCCAUGCCGCGUGUGUG
rnacentral:rRNA from 1 species